rnacentral:rRNA from 2 species
UAAUACAUGCAAGUCGAGCGAAUCUGAUGGGAGCUUGCUCCCUGAUGAUUAGCGGCGGACGGGUGAGUAACACGUGGGUAACCUGCCUGUAAGACUGGGAUAACUCCGGGAAACCGGGGCUAAUACCGGAUAACUUUUUYCUUCGCAUGAAGGAGAAUUGAAAGAUGGCUCCGGCUAUCACUUACAGAUGGACCCGCGGCGCAUUAGCUAGUUGGUGAGGUAACGGCUCACCAAGGCGACGAUGCGUAGCCGACUUGAGAGGGUGAUCGGCCACACUGGGACUGARACACGGCCCAGACUCCUACGGGAGGCAGCAGUAGGGAAUCUUCCGCAAUGGACGAAAGUCUGACGGAGCAACGCCGCGUGAGUGAUGAAGGUUUUCGGAUCGUAAAACUCUGUUGUUAGGGAAGAACAAGUAUCGUUCGAAUAGGGCGGUACCUUGACGGUACCUAACCAGAAAGCCACGGCUAACUACGUGCCAGCAGCCGCGGUAAUACGUAGGUGGCAAGCGUUGUCCGGAAUUAUUGGGCGUAAAGCGCGCGCAGGCGGUUUCUUAAGUCUGAUGUGAAAUCUUGCGGCUCAACCGCAAGCGGCCAUUGGAAACUGGGAGACUUGAGUGCAGAAGAGGAGAGUGGAAUUCCACGUGUAGCGGUGAAAUGCGUAGAGAUGUGGAGGAACACCAGUGGCGAAGGCGACUCUCUGGUCUGUAACUGACGCUGAGGCGCGAAAGCGUGGGGAGCGAACAGGAUUAGAUACUUGGG